UUUAGUCGCUACGUGAAAUUCCUCGAGUACAGACGGCAGGAAGAGCGGCCGUAUAUUUAACGUAAUUAUAAUCCGCGGCGCGGCCACGAGAAGAUGGAACGUUUCCACACGUAUUAUCGAUAUACCCUCGCGACUUGUGACGGGAUAAUAUCAAUCCUUGAUACUUGAAACGGAAACGGGUUAACGGGUGGCCGAUCGAGUUACCGCGUGGCGGAUUAAAUCGGAUUCCAGCGGCCGAAUCGUGAUUCGAAAUCGUCUCGAUUCCGUUUGUUCCAGGCUUGUUUAUACUCGUUGGAACAUUGAGGAAGAGGAGGAAGAGGAGGAGGAGGAGGAGGAGGAGGAGGAGGAUGGAAUUGUACAAGAGCCUGCCUCAUUUCGCUUGGAUCCUCUUGGAUGGGUGGAUUUUGGAAUGAUUUUUGCAACGAGGAGUAUAGAAGAGUAUCGAAGAGAAGGUUUCCAACGCAUGGAAUUGGUUAACAUCGGAGGAGAACGUGAGGAACGGGUUCCUCCAAUUGAGUCGAAAACGGACGAUCCGAUCCCGUCGAAGGAUUACAAAAAGAAGGCGGCCGGCUGGGAUGAGAGAAGAGAGGCGCGCAGGCAAAAUGGGAAUUAACGAGCGCGCGAUUAACCGGGUUAAUGGACGAAGGCACGCGAUACUUGCAAGGAGGCGGGUUGUUGACCGGUUGACUGACACUCUCGACGAGCUUCAUCUAGGCCGCCGCAUCACCCUCCUCCGCGAUCGUCCUCCGCGAUGAUCCAACGGACGGCGUAUCGUUGACCGCGUUCAGGUGGCGGAGGAGAGCGUUAAUUAGCGGCCUAUUAAUUUCACCAAGGCGAUUCGAUUCAUUCCGAAGAGCUCGGUCGAUAUAGCGAGAUAAAUGCACGAGGAGCAAGUAUUUUUCUCAAAGGUUGAUUCCUGUUAAGCGAGUAGAAAUGAUAUCGCCGAACGAUUUCCUCGCCAAGGAGGAGGAGGAGGGGAGGUGUAGUCGUAAAGAAAGGGUUUUACGAGGGAGCUUGGUGUCGACACCGAUCGAUAGAUAGGUGUGGAACCUGCGUGAUGACAAGGAUCGACCCGUGGACCGAACAUCAUAGCGGAGGAAGCCAAUUUAUUUACGAAUUCACGGGCAGAAAUGGCGGAAUCCAUUAACGAUUGGAUAUACAAUCUAUUAUUACUCGCUCCAUUGUCGCAUUGCCGAAUUAAUCUCUAUUUUGAGUUUCAGGAGGAGGAGCAAGGUUUGCCUUGUAAGUUUAACACGUUCAAACGAGAUGAAAGCUUACGAUACGGUUUUCUCGAUUAGUCGGGCAUAAUGCAUUUCCAGGAAUUAAUCGCUAGAAAUUGUAGAUUAUACUUUACUCUAGUUUAAAUCGACUGUGCGUGAUAACACGUGAACCCGAGACUAUAAUUAUUAAUCAACUCUUGCUGUAUCAGAUAAAAUCGAUCUUUCUGUCUAUUCUGAAAGAUUCAAGCUGACAAACUAAAUUUUUCAUUCACCUAUUUCCAUCUCUUUAUUGUUGUAACUUCGAAUCGACGAUUAACUGAAAUUAAAAUCCUUUUUUAACGAGAAUCUUUGAUAAAAAUCUUAAAAAAAAGGGAGAGAAAACACUUCGAAUCGAGCGUUACAACAAUUCCCUUAACUUGCAUUCGACAAAAACCUUUGAUUAAAAUCCUACGAAAGAGAGAAAUGUUGUGAGAAUCUUGCCAUCGUUUUCCAGUGUUUUCCACUGGGUCAAGUGGAGAGAGCUGCUUGUCUUGUGCAUACGAUUAAAGAAAAAAGGGGAGGGGAAGUCGAUUGUUCCCUCCUUGGGAUCACCGAUGGACGGAAAAGGAGCUAGUGGAUCGAGAAACUUGUCUCUUUUCCACUGGAAAUUCUGUUUUCUUCCUCCCACACGAGUCUUAAUUGAAAUUUAAAUCAUAUCUCUUUGCUUAGGUUCGAAAAAACAUCGACCGAUCCGUAAUAAUCGGAUAUAAUCAAGAAUGGAGGAGGGGAUCGGCGGAAACUUUUCAUCCCUGGAGGAACGAAACGGUAACGGUUGAAGAUUGAAAGGGAACUUGAGCGGAACUUUAAAGCUGUCUCGCGAGAUUUACGCGAGCUGGCUUGGAAUUAUUCGUGACUACAUAAUAUUCGAGAGGGGUAAUCGUUGGAAAAUGAUGAGACGAUUUCGAUGGAUCGUUUCUCGAGUCAAAAUUUAUAAAUUUCUCAUCGAAUCUAUCCUACAAGAUGAAUUUAUUUAUUAUGAUAUUUCUCACAAGAAUCAAGGAGAAUCAACACAAAGUCUGUCUAAAAAUAUCCAAUUUUCAUCUCGCAAUUAAAUUAAAGAUGAGAAGAAGAGAGAUUUCGAUGGAUCGUUUCUCGAGUCAAAAUUUAUAAAUUUCUCAUCAAAUCUAUCCUACAAGAUGAAUUUAUUUAUUAUGAUAUUUCUCACAAGAAUCAAGGAGAAUCAACACAAAGUCUGUCUAAAAAUAUCCAAUUUUCAUCUUGCAAUCAAAUUAAAGAUGAGAAGGAGAGAGAUUUCGAUGGAUCGUUUCUCGAGUCAAAAUUUAUAAAUUUCUCAUCAAAUCUAUCCUACAAGAUGAAUUUAUUUAUUAUGAUAUUUCUCACAAGAAUCAAGGAGAAUCAACACAAAGUCUGUUUAAAAAUAUCCAAUUUUCAUCAAAUUAAAGAUGAGAAGGAGAGAGAUUUCGAUGGAUCGUUUCUCGAGUCAAAAUUUAUAAAUUUCUCAUCAAAUCUAUCUUACAAGAUGAAUUUAUUUAUUAUGAUAUUUCUCACAAGAAUCAAGGAGAAUCAACACAAAGUCUGUCUAAAAAUAUCCAAUUUUCAUCAAAUUAAAGAUGAGAAGGAGAGAGAUUUCGAUGGAUCGUUUCUCGAGUCAAAAUUUAUAAAUUUCUCAUCAAAUCUAUCUUACAAGAUGAAUUUAUUUAUUAUGAUAUUUCUCACAAGAAUCAAGGAGAAUCAACACAAAGUCUGUUUAAAAAUAUCCAAUUUUCAUUAAAUUAAAGAUGAGAAGGAGAGAGAUUUCGAUGGAUCGUUUCUCGAGUCAAAAUUUAUAAAUUUCUCAUCAAAUCUAUCCUACAAGAUGAAUUUAUUUAUUAUGAUAUUUCUCACAAGAAUCAAGGAGAAUCAACACAAAGUCUGUUUAAAAAUAUCCAAUUUUCAUCUUGCAAUCAAAUUAAAGAUGAGAAGGAGAGAGAUUUCGAUGGAUCGUUUCUCGAGUCAAAAUUUCUAAAUUUCUCUUUAAAUCUAUCAAAUCUACUAUCUUACAGAAGAUGAAUUUAUCAUGAUAUUUCUCACAAGGAUCAAUCGACGCAAAGUCUGUCUAAAAAUAUCCAAUUUUCAUCUCGCAAUCAAAUUAAAGAUGAGAAGAAGAGAGAGAGAGAGAAAAGAAAGAAGAACGUGGGCGAUUAGGUGGUGCCAAAAGUGUAACGAGACGUUGAACCCGCCUUUGUGAUUAAACAAAAGUGGGUUAACGCCGCGUACAUCGGUUUCGCGCAUCCGUAAUGACGUUGGACAUCCUGUCCAACCCCUUUCCCCCCUCCUCCCUCUCUUUCCAUCAACCCCUACUAUUAAAAGAACAAUAGCCCAUACCGUAGAUUGUUGGUUAACGCGUCCGUUUCUCUGCUUCUUUUUCCGAACAAGCGAGACGAACAAUCGGCACUGGGUGCAGCCUCCUUUUAAUUGUAAGCGAAGGCGCGCCCUUCUUUUCGAUACUUGACCCGUUACUUCCGGAAAACGGCUCGUUCCCAAAUCAUAUCGUAGUCUAAGUUUUUCGUAGACUAAAUUUCCACUACCAUUUCAUCUUAAAAAACGAGAGUAAGAGUUUCUAUUAUUACUCUUUUCUUACGAGACAAUAAUUUUAGUUACAAUAUUCCAACUCGAAAUGUAUUUUUCCUCCACCUACGAUUGUUGAAUAUAUAUAUAUUAUUGACAAAAUAGAUUUUUUUAAAAUAAUCCCUCGACUUGAGUUUCUAUUAUUACUCUUUUCUUACAAGAUAAUAAUUUUAAUUAUAAUAUUCCAACUCGAAAUGUAUUUUUCUUCCACAAUCUGUCGACGAAACAUUGAAUAAAUAUAUUAUUGACAAAAUACAUUUUUUUAAAGUAAUCCCUCGACUUGAGUUUUAUUUACAAGUCGCAGAGGAACGUUGAAUAUGUAUUACUGACAAAAUUCCUUUUUUUUUAAAAUAAUCCCUCGACUUGAGUUUUAUUUACAAGUCGCAGAAGAAAAGAAAGAAACGUUGAAUAUGUAUUACUGACAAAAUUCAUUUUUUUAAAAUAAUCCCUCGAGUUUUAUUUACAAGAGGAACGCGUGGCGACAUGCUUAUGGAUUGAAAUAUCAAUCGAAUAAGCUUUUCGUCGCGCGAACUUGGAGGAGGAAAAAUCAAAGAGCAAAAUAUGGCGUAUACAACGCGUGACCCCCAUCGAGCGCACGCACACAAUUUGCAUGCCAACUCCCCCACCGACUCUUUGUCGCCUCGACAAAUACCUAUUUCUAUGUCAAUUGUUUCCUUACACCAAUUUCACCUCCUCCUCGCUCACCCUUCCGGUCACUCCACUCGGGAAUUGGUCAAGGAAAACGAAUCGAAGCUUGGAAAAUUCUUAAUUCAACCCACUUUGAAAAUUCAAGACUUCAGACUUGAAUUACGUGUGAAAUAAAAGAUUCUCUUUUGUUUGGAACGCGUGAUGUUUAUCUUAGGGGUGGAUUUCACGAAAGAGCGAAGAUCGGGGAAAAUAUGGUUUUUUGGCAAGGAAAAUACGUUUGGAAAGUUGUGAAUUUCAACAUCCUUUUCGAAGGAUGAUGGCGAAACAAAUUUGGCGAAAUAGAAAAAAUGAUGCAAGGAACGCGAGAGGCGUGAAUAUACGCGAAAUCAAUUGCGUGUGUCGUUACAUCCGGUGUUCGAACGAGGACGAGUGUCGAGGGGCCUUAAAACCAUCCAUGCCUCUCUUCUGUGUACGCUCGUUAUUCUCGAUCACGCGUACACUCGUGUCCAAUAAGUCAGAGAGAGUGGCCUGCGUUGACCCGUGCGCCGCUUCGACGAUAUGGUAAUUUUAACGUUUUAAUUAAGUCAAAAUAUACGCGUGUAACGUAAAGACGUUGUUCUCUAAUAAUUUUGUCCGUCUGUGCAAGAAAAAUUAAAUUACAACAAUUUUAUAACGUGAUCUUCCAAUUAAUUUCUCCAAAUCUUUCUCUUCUCUUUGAAAAAGUGCUA